rnacentral:rRNA from 1 species
CACGCCGUAAACGAUGGAUACUAGGUGUAGGAGGUAUCGACCCCUUCUGUGCCGGAGUUAACACAAUAAGUAUCCCACCUGGGGAGUACGGCCGCAAGGCUGAAACUCAAAGGAAUUGACGGGGGCCCGCACAAGCAGUGGAGUAUGUGGUUUAAUUCGAAGCAACGCGAAGAACCUUACCAGGGCUUGACAUCCCUUGAACGCUGUAGAGAUACAGUUUCUCUUCGGAGCAAGGAGACAGGUGG